UUUCGCAAUGCCCGAAAGGGUGACGAAGCGACGCCGCGUGGGUGAGGAAGGCCUUCGGGUUGUAAAGCCCUGUCAGGAGUUAAGAAAUGUAAGUGCGCUAAUAUCGCAUUUAUUUGACGAAGGCUCCAAAGGAAGUCACGGCUAACUCUGUGCCAGAGCCGCGGUAAUACAGAGGUGGCAAGCGUUGUUCGGAAUUAUUGGGCGUAAAGAGCACGUAGGUGGGUUUGUAAGUCAGAUGUAAAAGCCUUCUGUUCAACGGAAGAAUUGCAUCUGAAACUGCGAGUCUUGAGUGUAGGAGGGGAGAAUGGAACUUCUGGUGGAGCGGUGAAAUGCGUAGAUAUCAGAAGGAACGCCGGCGGCGAAAGCGAUUCUCUGGCCUAUUACUGACACUCAGUGUGCGAAAGCUAGGGGAGCAAACGGGAUUAGAUACCCCGGUAGUCCUAGCCGUAAACGAUGGGCACUAAGUAGAGGGGUUUU
rnacentral:rRNA from 1 species